AAGAGAUAGAAAGAUCAUAAGAAAGCUGCUAACUAUUCUUAUUAGUGGUUCAAAUCCAUUAAUCUCUUU
rnacentral:tRNA from 1 species